GUCUCUUCGGAGAUAUCCGAUAAAAUUGGAACGAUACAGAGAAUAUUAGCAUGGCCCCUGUGCAAGGAUGACAUGCACAAAUCAAGAGA
rnacentral:snRNA from 1 species